rnacentral:rRNA from 1 species
GGUGGCUAUAGUGCCGGGGUUCCACCUCUUCCCAUUCCGAACAGAGAAGUUAAGCCCGUCCGCGCCGAUGGUACUGCGUAACAGUGGGAGAGUAGGUAGCCGCCG